UCAAAGUUACCGGAUAUGACAUCAAAUCGGGAAUUUUAUACGCUAGAAACAAAAGAAAUCUAAUUUGCAAUUCCCGGUUUGAUGUCAUAUCCGGUAAGUUUGA
rnacentral:miRNA from 1 species